GGAGAUCAGAAGCGAGAAUGUUGACAUGAGUAGCGACAAAGAGGGUGAGAGACCCUCUCGCCGAAAGUCCAAGGGUUCCUGCUUAAAGCUAAUCUGAGCAGGGUGAGCCGGCCCCUAAGGCGAGGCCGAAAGGCGUAGUCGAUGGGAACUAGGUUAAUAUUCCUAGGCCAGUGGGAAGUGACGGAUCUCGAAGGUUGUCUGCCCUUAUCGGAUUGGGUGGGCCGCUUAGAGGUUCCUGGAAAUAGCCCCACAUCAGACCGUACCCUAAACCGACACAGGUGGACUGGUAGAGUAUACCAAGGCGCUUGAGAGAACCACGUUAAAGGAACUCGGCAAAAUGCCUCCGUAAGUUCGCGAGAAGGAGGCCCCAUCAGUAGGCAACUAUUGGUGGGGGGCACAAACUAGGGGGUGGCGACUGUUUACUUAAAACACAGGGCUGUGCGAAGCCGUAAGGCGACGUAUACAGUCUGACGCCUGCCCGGUGCUGGAAGAUUAAGAGGAGGGGUGCAAGCUCUGAAUUGAAGUCCCAGUAAACGGCGGCCGUAACAAUAACGGUCCUAAGGUAGCGAAAUUCCUUGUCGGGUAAGUUCCGACCUGCACGAAUGGCGUAACGAUCUCCCCGCUGUCUCUAACGUGGACUCAGCGAAAUUGAACUGUGUGUCAAGAUGCACACUUCCCGCGGUUAGACGGAAAGACCCCAUGCACCUUUACUCUAGCUUUGCACUGGCAUCAGGAUUGUGAUGUGCAGGAUAGGUGGUAGGCAUUGAAGCGGGGACGCCAGUCUUCGUGGAGCCUCCCUUGAGAUACCACCCUUCGCACUCUUGAUGUCUAACCGCGGCCCGUUAUCCGGGUCCGGGACCCUGCAUGGUGGGGAGUUUGACUGGGGCGGUCGCCUCCUAAACAGUAACGGAGGCGCGCGAUGGUUGGCUCAGACCGGUCGGAAAUCGGUCGUUGAGUGCAAUGGCAGAAGCCAGCCUGACUGCAAGUCUGACAAGACGAGCAGAGACGAAAGUCGGUCAUAGUGAUCCGGUGGUCCCAAGUGGGAGGGCCAUCGCUCAACGGAUAAAAGGUACGCUGGGGAUAACAGGCUGAUGAUGCCCAAGAGUCCAUAUCGACGGCAUCGUUUGGCACCUCGAUGUCGGCUCAUCUCAUCCUGGGGCUGGAGCAGGUCCCAAGGGUAUGGCUGUUCGCCAUUUAAAGAGGUACGUGAGCUGGGUUUAGAACGUCGUGAGACAGUUCGGUCCCUAUCUGCCGUGGGUGUAGGAGACUUGAGAAGAGUUGCCCCUAGUACGAGAGGACCGGGGUGAACGAACCACUGGUGGACCAGUUAUCGUGCCAACGGUAGUGCUGGGUAGCUAUGUUCGGACAGGAUAAACGCUGAAGGCAUCUAAGCGUGAAGCCCCCUUCAAAACAAGGUCUCCCUUGAGAGCCGUGGAAGACCACCACGUCGAUAGGCCGGAGGUGUAAGUGCAGCAAUGCAUUCAGCUGACCGGUACUAAUUGCUC
rnacentral:rRNA from 1 species